UUGGGGACACUUCAUUUACAGCGAUAUCGUUGACACGAUCAACAGACUGUGGGAUGGAUAAAAAUAUUUGAUCAAUCUCUGAUAAUCUCAGAUUGCUAUGGUCACGCGGGUUUGUUUAUGCAUUAAACUCGUGGCAAAACUAAACCAAAAAGACUCGAGCUUCAUUUUUUAUUUUUUUUUUAUCUUACAAUGACAGUCAUUUAUUAAUUUAUGCCAGGAGUUAUGUAAAUGAAAAAUGAAGUCGAGAUCAAUAUGAAACUUGAGUCGUAGACCUCUUUAAUGAUGUAAGUUAUAGUUUAUGAAGUGAAUUGCAUAAUUUUACAUUAAAACUAGCAGUAACUCUGAACUAAUGUGAACAAAGAAUGCUUCUAUGCUCUCAAUUAGGCCCGUAUCGAGGAGCUGGAAGAGGAAAUUGAGGCAGAGCGAGCUGCUCGUGCUAAAGUGGAGAAGCAGAGAGCUGAUCUUUCCAGGGAACUUGAAGAGACAGCGAGAGGACUGAGGAAGACUGGUGGUGCCACUGCUGCCCAGAUGAGAUGAACAAGAAGACGUGAAGACAGAAUUCCAGAAGUUGCGUCGUGAUCUGGAAGAGUCUACCUUGCAGCAUGAAGCUAUAGCUGCAGCUCUCCGAAAGAAGCAGGCAGACAGUGUGGCUGAACUCUGAGAACAGAUCGACAACCUCCAGCGGGUCAAGCAGAAGCUGGAGAAGGAGAAGAGUGAAUACAAGAUGGAGAUUGAUGACUUGACAAGCAACAUGGAGGCUGUGGCUAAAGCAAAGGCUAAUUUAGAGAAGAUGUGCCGUACCCUGGAAGACCAGCUGAGUGAAAUCAAGACCAAGAGUGAUGAAAUAUAUGUAAAACUUUGUCCUAUAAUUGUAUAGCUGCUUAUAUAUUCUAGAUUUUUAUGUUGCUCUGUUACUGAAUACCUUAAAAUUUAAAGGAUUUGCUGCAACACAAAUUUGUCUGAUUAUGUGAAUAUAUUUAUUAGUCCAUUUUUUUUUUAAUCCAUACAGCAAAUGCUUUAAAAACUGCUUUUAUAUAUAGCCUGUAUCUCAUGUCAGUCUGAGUGCUCAUGUACAACGUACAGUGCAUACAGCCAUACAUCUAAAGACGCCACUGUUCUGUCCUAUGUUCAAGGGGCUGCUGGAGAAAAAAAAAAAAAAAACGCUUCCCGUGCAAGGGAGAGGGAUAGUCCAUUAAACAUAUGGGGGAGUGAAUAUAUUUAUUAGUCCUAUU
rnacentral:lncRNA from 1 species